rnacentral:lncRNA from 1 species
CUAAACCUAAGGACAGCUACAAAGGAAAGACAACUGGGGAAAGAAGACCUAGGACUGGGGGAACCCAAACAGCCUGUCCUGCAAGUGACAUCACUCACCCACACGAAGGAGGGGGACUGCACCUUAGAAGCCUGCUCUGCAUCCAUUUACCCCCCCCCAAGGGCUUUGUUUCACUGUUUAUGUUCACGUGAUCUCAACAGGGAAAUUGUCAUUUUCAUUAAUUUUUUAAAAAAUUCGUCUUUCAAAUGUAGAACUAAUUUUUUGCCCCUGAGGAGUGGGCAGAAGAAGGAGGUAGUGUAAUACGCAGAGGCCUUUUCUUCCCGGUAUACUAUAGCAUUUGCCUUCCGUUCUGAAGCUAUGUGGCUUGCCAAGUCCUUCACGAAAUGAGCCACGCUGAUGGGUAAUUUGUGGAGAAAUAUCUUAAUUUUGAUUUCCUUAAGGAAAAGCGAAAAGCAGAGUUACAGUCACAAAUCCCCUGAACGUACUGCUGUCACCAGUGUCAUUGUGGCUGCGGGAAGGAGAUCUGAACCUAACUUUUCUUACUCCCUGAGGAGUUUCUUGUUGGACCCAAUGGGGUCCAUGAAGACACUGAUGGGGAUGGAAGCAGACCCAUGGCAUCAACUGCAGUGUUUCUGCUGUGUUCAUCUUCUCAGAAAACUCUGUGACCCAGUUCUUUGGGAGCUUUUGUCAGUCUCUUUCGUGCCAUCUACCUUCGAAGGAAGGAACACUUUUAGAGUUACAAUGAUGAGGAGAGGAGCGGGACAAUACUCAAUCCUAUACCAAGUCGAUUGAGAUUAGUUUCCUACUGGGAAAUAGACUGCCAUCGGAUAAAGAGUGGUCCCUAGCUUCUAUUUUUCCAAGUAAAUAAGUAGAACAUGUUCUUGGGAUUAUACCAUUAAAUGUUAAUUUUCUUGAAGAAGAAAGAUUGUUGUCUGCCAAGAUUUUAUGUUAGCGCUCGGAUUGAGGCAGAAAACGGAAGCACCAGGUUUAACACUGGGAUGACUUGGGUUGUGUUCCUGGAGGUUUGAAGUGGGCCUUCCCGCCUUUUGAGGGGGAAAACUGACUGUUUUGAACACAUAUCCUGGAUUAGUUGGGUUGUUUUGUAUUGAGGAUCCCUAAAAGACAAAAGAGUCUUGGAAAGGACUGCUGGCUUCGUCUUGAACGUUCGCCCCAUCACCAGUGUGAGUCCGUGGGGAAGUCUUCCUCAAGUGGGGUUCAGUCUGUAAUUUUCCUGUCUGUUCUUAGUUUGUUCUGAGUUAUUUUGGAUUUUGUUCUUUAGCCAAAUAAAGGCAGUGUGGUUUUACC